GCAUCUUUGCCCUACUGGUGGUU
rnacentral:siRNA from 1 species